rnacentral:rRNA from 1 species
GUAAAUAAUUAAGGGCGUAUGGUGGAUGCCUAGGCUCUCAGAGGCGAUGAAGGACGUGAUAAGCUGCGAAAAGCUCCGUUUAGGUGCAAAUAACCUUUGAUGCGGAGAUCUCCGAAUGGGAUAACCCAAUAUGUUGAAGACAUAUUAUACCGUAAGGUAGGCAAACGCAGGGAACUGAAACAUCUAAGUACCUGCAGGAGAAGAAAACAAAAGUGAUUCCCCCAGUAGCGGCGAGCGACCGGGGAUAAGCCCAAACCGUUAUUGUUUCGGCAGUAGCGGGGUAGUAGGACUGCGACAUUGAUGAAAUAAAUGAAAUGGAACACUUUGGAAAAUGUGAUCACAGAGGGUGAUAAUCCCGUACAUGCAAGUUUAUGAAUCAUAGCAGACUCCUGAGUAAGUCGGGACACGUGUAAUCCUGACCGAAUCCGCCGGGACCAUCCGGCAAGGCUAAAUACUCCUGAGAGACCGAUAGUGAACCAGUACCGUGAGGGAAAGGUGAAAAGCACUUCGAACAGAAGAGUGAAAUAGUCCCUGAACCCAUACGCCUACAAGCUGUCGGAGCCGCUUCGUGCGGUGACGGCGUGCCUUUUGCAUAAUGAGCCUACGAGUUACUCAUCACCAGCGAGGUUAAGUACUUCAGGUACGUAAGCCGAAGCGAAAGCGAGUCUGAAUAGGGCGUCAAGUUGGUGGUGGUAGACGCGAAACCUUAGUGAUCUACCCAUGGGCAGGGUGAAGGUUUGGUAACACAAACUGGAGGCCCGAACCGGUAAACGUUGAAAAGUUUUCGGAUGACCUGUGGGUAGGGGUGAAAGGCCAAUCAAACUGGGAAAUAGCUCGUACUCUCCGAAAUGCAUUUAGGUGCAGCCUCUGUUGUUUUGUUCUAGAGGUAGAGCUACUGAUUGGAUGCGAGGGCUUCACCGCCUAUCAAAUCCGGCCAAACUCCGAAUGCUAGAACAUGAAGACAGGGAGUGAGCCAGCGGGUGCUAAGGUCCGUUGACGAAAGAGGGAGAACUCAGACCAUCAGCUAAGGUCCCCAAUUGUAUGCUAAGUUGGAAUUAAAACGGGGUGGGACUGCUUAGACAGCUAGGAUGUUGGCUUGGAAGCAGCCAUUCAUUUAAAGAGUGCGUAACAGCUCACUAGUCGAGCGGUCCUGCAUGGAUAAUACGCGGGCAUAAGCAUAUAACCGAAGCUAUGGGAUUGUAGAUGAUACAAUCGGUAGGAGAGCAUUCCAUUCAGCGUAGAAGCAGUACCGUGAGGUAUUGUGGAGCGGAUGGAAAAGCAAAUGUAGGCAUAAGUAACGAUAAUGCGGGUGAGAACCCCGCACGCCGAAAGAUCAAGGAUUCCCCGGCAAUGUCAAUCAUCCGGGGGUAAGUCGGAUCCUAAGGGUAAGCCGAGUGGCGAUCCCGAUGGCAAACAGGUUAAUAUUCCUGUACUGAUCAUAACUGCGAUGCAGCGACGCAGAGGUGACACUGCUGCGUACUGACGGAAUAGUACGUUGAAACCCGUAUUCUUAGAUACCGGUAGUGAAGCACGCCGGUAGAGAUGAAAGGUGAUAGUACCGCAAUGCUUCGGUUGCGCGGAUAACGCAGGUAAGCUGACUGCCAAGAAAACCUGCUAAGCUUCAGGUAAUGAUCAUCCGUACUGUAAACGGACACACGUGAUCAGGUAGAAAAUACUAAGGCGCUCGAGAGAUUCAUGGUUAAGGAACUAGGCAAAAUGGUCCUGUAACUUCGGGAUAAAGGACGCUCUUGUGAAAGAGCCGCAGAUAAUAGGCCCAGGCGACUGUUUACCAAAAACACAUGGCUAUGCUAAUUCGCAAGAAGAUGUAUAUGGCCUGACACCUGCCCGGUGCCGGAAGGUUAAGAGGAGAGCUCAGAGGUAACUCGAAGGUUUGAAUUGAAGCCCCGGUAAACGGCGGCCGUAACUAUAACGGUCCUAAGGUAGCGAAAUUCCUUGUCGGGUAAGUU